rnacentral:rRNA from 1 species
UAGGGAAUCUUCCACAAUGGACGCAAGUCUGAUGGAGCAACGCCGCGUGAGUGAAGAAGGCUUUCGGGUCGUAAAACUCUGUUAUUGAAGAAGAACGUGUGUGACAGUAACUGGUCAUGCAGUGACGGUAUUCAAUCAGAAAGUCACGGCUAACUACGUGCCAGCAGCCGCGGUAAUACGUAGGUGGCAAGCGUUGUCCGGAUUUAUUGGGCGUAAAGCGAGUGCAGGCGGUCUUUUAAGUCUGAUGUGAAAGCCUUCGGCUUAACCGAAGAAGGGCAUCGGAAACUGGGAGACUUGAGUACAGAAGAGGAG